rnacentral:rRNA from 1 species
UACGUAGGGUGCAAGCGUUUGUCCGGAAUUAUUGGGCGUAAAGAGCUCGUAGGUGGUUUGUCGCGUUGUCCGUGAAAACUCACAGCUUAACUGUGGGCGUGCGGGCGAUACGGGCAGACUGGAGUACUGCAGGGGAGACUGGAAUUCCCGGUGUAGCGGUGAAAUGCGCAGAUAUCGGGAGGAACACCAGUGGCGAAGGCGGCACUCUGGGCCGGUACUGACGCUGAGGAGCGAAAGCCAGGGGAGCAAAGCGGG